rnacentral:lncRNA from 1 species
GCAAAAGGACUGCAGUUCUCUGUGUAAAGAUGCAAAGUGCCUCAUUUGCCAUCAAAGUUAAUGAGGAUGUCAGUGAGGUUCAGCUCCCAGAGGUCACUGUGGAGUCUGCCAAAAAAAAAAGAAAGAAGAAGAAGAAACUAUGAAUAGUAAUGAGCAUCUCACCGUGAGGUAAAACAAAGAGGACGGUAUAAGACACAUAGCUCAGCUACAUGCAGAAUAAUGACAUUGUGAGCAGUGCCUCUUGUGUACUACACAACUGAAUGAAGGCGUGCAAUGUGUGGGCUGAGAAAGCUUUGAAGCAAUCACUAAGGAUGAAUUGUACUUUUAGGUGCAGAUCGGGCUGGGGCUGUGCCAGACUACUCCUGGGGUGCGGUUCCCAAAUGCUUUGUGGACCACUUCAGCAUACAGCGAGAGCUCAUCUGCUACAGCACCCCUUUUGGGACUGUAGAAUACACUCCAUUUCUAGUUAGCUUCCUCCUAGUGCUCCCUAGAUUCCUCCUACUCCUCCCUGGCUGCUUUGGUUCAUCAUGGGAGUGCAGGUGUAACGCUGACAGACCCCGGUGGUCAGUGGGCGGGAUCAAACCGGGGACCUAUGGAGCUUAGUGCAUGAGCUUCUACUGCAUGAGCUAAAAGCCAAAUAGCUGUUAGCUACGGCUGUAGAGCAGACUCAUUUAACUCUCUCUCUAAGUGGUCUCGGUGCCACUAAAUGGGACAGAGCACCACACCCAGAAGGUGUGAGGGUUACACAAGUAAAGCAGUCUUUGUUGUCCCAUGAGUGCAGGGACUGCACAGAUCUGGGCGACGGUGCGGGGGACAGACAUUCUAACAUGCAUGUAAUGGUAUCCAUGGGCCAUUGCAGAAGUGUAGAAUUGCAGAGUUUAAUAACACUUUGCUUGUUCCAUCUCCUGACACACCCUUGGUGUGGCUCAGAAUACCCCCUCUGUAGCAUUUCUACAAGGUGUGACGAGGGUUGCAGAACUUUCUACAGAAGGCCUGUUCCCCAGAGGAUUGGCACCACAGUGAAUUCUCCGAUCGUCACUCUCUGGAAGCUCACCGAAAGGCUGACUCAGUCACCAAGAUCAAUCUGCAAGUUGGGGAGCAGGAGAGGAGAGGACAGGACAAGUUUGGUGUAAGCAGCCCCGGCAGAUGUCUUGGCACCAUCUCAAAGGUCAUAGCAAAACUGAUCCCUAUGGAGUCAGGGAUCCUCAUUCUCCAAGGUAGGGAACAAAUGUUUACCGUGAGUUUUACAGACGAAUAAAUUGAGGGGCUGAGAGAUUGAGGCA